AUUUACUUCGGUAAUGACGUUAGGAAAGCGAGCGGCGGAUGGGUGAGUAACACGUGGGGAACCUGCCCCAUAGUCUGGGAUACCACUUGGAAACAGGUGCUAAUACCGGAUAAGAAAGCAGAUCGCAUGAUCAGCUUUUAAAAGGCGGCGUAAGCUGUCGCUAUGGGAUGGCCCCGUGGUGCAUUAGCUAGUUGGUAAGGUAAAGGCUUACCAAGGCGAUGAUGCAUAGCCGAGUUGAGAGACUGAUCGGCCACAUUGGGACUGAGACACGGCCCAAACUCCUACGGGAGGCAGCAGUAGGGAAUCUUCCACAAUGGACGCAAGUCUGAUGGAGCAACGCCGCGUGAGUGAAGAAGGUUUUCGGAUCGUAAAGCUCUGUUGUUGGUGAAGAAGGAUAGAGGUAGUAACUGGCCUUUAUUUGACGGUAAUCAACCAGAAAGUCACGGCUAACUACGUGCCAGCAGCCGCGGUAAUACGUAGGUGGCAAGCGUUGUCCGGAUUUAUUGGGCGUAAAGCGAGCGCAGGCGGAAGAAUAAGUCUGAUGUGAAAGCCCUCGGCUUAACCGAGGAACUGCAUCGGAAACUGUUUUUCUUGAGUGCAGAAGAGGAGAGGGAUCCAUGGUAGCGGUGGAAUGCGUA
rnacentral:rRNA from 1 species